UACAGAGGGUGCAAGCGUUAAUCGGAAUUACUGGGCGUAAAGCGUGCGUAGACGGUUACGUAAGUCGGGUGUGAAAGCCCCGGGCUCAACCUGGGAAUUGCAUUCGAGACUGCAUAGCUAGGGUGCGGAAGAGGUAAGCGGAAUUUCCGGUGUAGCGGUGAAAUGCGUAGAUAUCGGAAGGAACACCAGUGGCGAAAGCGGCUUCCUGGUCCAGCACCGACGUUCAGGCACGAAAGCGUGGGGAGCAAACAGG
rnacentral:rRNA from 1 species